rnacentral:ncRNA from 2 species
AGUAGCUUUCAGGGCGGGGUGACCCGUCUCGACUCGGUGUUGAUCCGAGGCGGGAAGUCCCCACCGGCGGUAAUUCGGCCAAUAGGCCGAGAGUCCGCGAGCUUCCAGCAUAACUGGGGCACGAUUGCUGUGCGAUUCAGCAACCGACGGUAUAGUCCGGAUGGAAGAAAGCGAGC